rnacentral:rRNA from 1 species
UUCAGUGAAAUCGAGUAGGGCGGGACACGUGAUAUCCUGUCUGAAUAUGGGGGGACCAUCCUCCAAGGCUAAAUACUACUGACUGACCGAUAGUGAACCAGUACCGUGAGGGAAAGGCGAAAAGAACCCCUGUGAGGGGAGUGAAAUAGAACCUGAAACCGUGUACGUACAAGCAGUAGGAGCAGGCUUGUCCUGUGACUGCGUACCUUUUGUAUAAUGGGUCAGCGACUUAUAUUCAGUGGCAAGGUUAACCAUCUAGGGGAGCCGUAGGGAAACCGAGUCUUAACUGGGCGUUCAGUCUCUGGAUAUAGACCCGAAACCAGGUGAUCUAGCCAUGGGCAGGUUGAAGGUUGAGUAACAUCAACUGGAGGACCGAACCGACUAAUGUUGAAAAAUUAGCGGAUGACUUGUGGCUAGGGGUGAAAGGCCAAUCAAACCUGGAGAUAGCUGGUUCUCCCCGAAAGCUAUUUAGGUAGCGCCUCGGACGAAUACUACUGGGGGUAGAGCACUGUUAAGGCUAGGGGGUCAUCCCGACUUACCAACCCUUUGCAAACUCCGAAUACCAGUAAGUACUAUCCGGGAGACACACGGCGGGUGCUAACGUCCGUCGUGGAGAGGGAAACAACCCAGACCGCCAGCUAAGGUCCCAAAUUACUACUAAGUGGGAAACGAUGUGGGAAGGCUCAGACAGCCAGGAUGUUGGCUUAGAAGCAGCCAUCAUUUAAAGAAAGCGUAAUAGCUCACUGGUCGAGUCGGCCUGCGCGGAAGAUGUAACGGGGCUAAGUAGUAAACCGAAGCUGCGGCAAUAUACUUUUGUAUAUUGGGUAGGGGAGCGUUCUGUAAGCGGUUGAAGGUGUGUGGUAACGCAUGCUGGACGUAUCAGAAGUGCGAAUGCUGACAUGAGUAACGAUAAAGGGGGUGAAAAACCUCCUCGCCGGAAGACCAAGGGUUCCUGUCCAACGUUAAUCGGGGCAGGGUAAGUCGACCCCUAAGGCGAGGCCGAAAGGCGUAGUCGAUGGGAAACGGGUUAAUAUUCCCGUACUUCUUACAAUUGCGAUGGGGGGACGGAGAAGGCUAGGUGGGCCUGGCGACGGUUGUCCAGGUUCAAGUGCGUAGGCU